rnacentral:rRNA from 1 species
CACGUAGGCGAACCGGAAAGUUGGGGUGAAAUCCGGGGCUCAACCCCGGAACUGCCUUCAAAACUAUCGGUCUGGAGUUCGAGAGAGGUGAGUGGAAUUCCGAGUGUAGAGGUGAAAUUCGUAGAUAUUCGGAGGAACACCAGUGGCGAAGGCGGCUCACUGGCUCGAUACUGACGCUGAGGUGCGAAAGCGUGGGGAGCAAACA